UCCUGGCCUGAAGUGAUCCUCCUGCCUUGGCUUCCUAAAGUGCUGGGAUUACAGGCAUGAGCCACUGAGCCUAGCCCCAGAAUGUUAAUGUAUGUGUGUUCAGGUGACUAUUUUACCAGGAAUAACAGUAGCCGCAGGUCAUGGGCCAUUGGCUGGGUGCCAAGCUGGGUGCGGUGUGUUCCUGCUAAGCUCCCAGCCUCCAUCUCUGCCCUCUCACGUUGCUACAGCCCUGCUGCCUUUGUUCUCCUCAGAUGUCUCUAGCUGGCUGCCUUCUUGGGGCCUCUGUGCUAGAAGUCCUGUUUGUCUGUGGCCUCUGCUGCCAGCUAGCUCACCCGCUUUUGUCCGUGUCAGCUCAGACGUCGCCACCUGGAGAAGACCUCUGGCCUACCUGCUCACCUCCACCCACCCCACCGCCCGCUCUGUCACAUUAUUUUGUUUAGUUUUCCUCCCUAUCUGGAAUUAUCCUAUUUCUUUCUGAUUUAUUAUCUGUCUCCCCCUUCCUGCAUUAAGAGAUAAAUUCUGUGCGAGCAGGGGCUUUGUCUGUCUCAUUCACUCUAUUUCCAGUGUCUCCAAGAGUGGUGCUCAGUAAGCGCUCAGUAAGUGUGUGCUGAGCAAAAUGAUGAGUCUGCACCAAGAGCCUCAUUUUCUAGAUGGGAGACUGCAGCAGGGCACGUGAACGACCUGCCCGAGGUCUCACACUGGGCGGGAGGGGUGGCCAGGAGCUCGCUGGCAGGACCAGGUUUGUGCCGUUUGCAGCUGGUUUUGCCCUUUCUAACCUGCCCUGUGGCAUGGUGAUAUUUUUCCUGGGGCCCUUCUAUGAUAGUGUGGAAGUUCCAUAAAAUAUCUUUGUUCCUUAAAAAAAUUGAACACAAAUUAGUUUGAUUUGCAAAUUUAAAAAUGUGAGUCUUUCACAAGGCAUGGUGGCUGUAGGAGGCCAAAGCAGGAGGACCGCUUUGGCCCAGGAGUUGGAGGCUGCAGUGAGCUGUGGUGACGCCUCUGCACUCCAGCCUGAGUGACAGAGCAAGGCCGUCUCUAAAGUAAUAAUAAUAAAUGAGUCUUUCCGUGAAAUCCAGUUCAGUUUUACAUUGAUCAAAUGGCCUUUAAUGAAAAGAACAAAUCCCUCAGUGCACUGUCUGACCCCUCAUGGUGGCGCACGUGAUGACACAUGCAAGCUGCUGGAGACGUGUAGCGCGGCGAGGGGUGCGAGGGGCUGCCGUCACCCGACACCUUUGUCUUCUUGGUUUCUUGGUAAAGUCGAUGCAUCCGACGGGGGCAGGUGAGAAUUUUAGAGGUCUCCUGUGUGCUUGUCAGCGUUCAGGUUGGAAGGCAGAGCGUCCCAGCGGCGGCACGCAGAGAGGCUCGGGGUUGGUGUGGACAGGCCUGGCGGGGUCCGAGCCACACACCGCGUGCAGCUGGGCCAGCCUGGACUGCGCGGGUAGCUCGACUGAGCCUGCUUUCUUGCCCAUAGGGUCACCUGCCCCUCCUUGGCCUCUGUGUGCCCGUGAGGUAUCAAGGCUUCGUUCAUUGCCUCCCGCGCCCCCCCCCAGGUGCACCAUCCAUGUCAAGCCCUCUCCCGGGUGGGGCCCUGGUCAGGGGCGCCUGUGCAUGGAGAAUGGGCACGAGGAUGGGUACAGCCAACAGGGGCAUGUCCCCGGGUGCCGGGUGCAGGCCCUAGGGCGCAGUGGUGAGGCCGGACCACCACUUGCAGCUUGGGGCCAGGCGAUAGGGUUCUGUAGUUGGGCAGCAGGCGAGAGUCAAGGAGGCUGGUGGAGGCUUCUGCCCUGUGGGGGGCACGGGCUGCGGGCCAUGAACUUGCGAGGCCACGGGGCCAUCACGCCAGGGAGUCUCAAAUGCCACAGGGGAAUGAAGGCGAAGGAGGGGUGCUCAGGUUUCCGCUCUUGUACCCCUGGGCCUUGCAGCACUAGAUCAUCUGGAAGAUACAGCCAAGAUGAUAAAAGGCGCGGAUCCCUCCGAGGAGGUGGUACGAGGCCAUGUUGGCACGUGGGAGUCGGCCGCCCCGGGAAAGCCGCUCUCCUUGGAGCACACGGACGCCUCCUGCUGCCCGCGGUGCGAGCUGCCCACCUGCUCAGGAGGAGGGGCCCGUAACUUCGUUCACCCAGUCAGCAGUCACAGAACACCAGCACAGCAGGCAGAGCCAGCGGCCUCCGAAGUGGCCGCCUCGAGUGUGCCACACGCAUCUGUCUGCUGAGCCUUGGUGCUGGAGCUCAGCGGCCCAUCGGGAAGCCAGGGGCUUGGAGUGGGAUGGCUCUGGGGCCGAGUCCAGGCCCCACCAUGUGCCACCAGGCCAAGUCACUUCCACCCUUUUCUUACCUUGUUUUGGCCGCUAAGUCAGCAGAGGCCCCAGGUGACUCUCAAGCGCCUCUGGAGACUCGGUGUGGCGGAUGCUGCCUCCACCCGUUCUGGUCCAUUCCGUGCACCAGCCCUGCACCAGCCCUCGCCCCUUCCUGCCCCGGGUUCUGUAGUCACCACCUGCUGUCAGCCUCUAACCAGGACCUGGCACAGCUGACACCUUGUGCCCAGGGGCUGUAGAGUCUGCAGGGUCUACUGUGAGGGAGGAAAACAGAGCCACCUGGGCGAGUGGGGCUAGGAGGACAUCGGGGGUCAGAGGAGUAGACAGAAGGGAUAGAAAGAGGGGCCUAGUCAUCCCAUGCUCCUCCCAGCCCUGCUCCCUAAAGGCCCUGUAGGGUUGUCCCUCGGGGCCACCUUGGGCUCCCUGAGGGUCCUUGUUUGACUUGCAAGUGCCCAAUGGAAGGUCAGUUGGAUGGAGAUGACAUUGAGUGUUUUUCCAGCUUGGAGACGGGAGAUCAAAGCAGGAAGCCGCCGAGGGAGGCACAGGGUGACUGUGGAGAGGAAGCAGAGGGGGACACGGAGUCUGGAACCCAGGAAGCAAAGUUCCCAGCUGCUCCUGUUGGCUAUGAUGGCAUCUCAGACUUUCCUUGUUUUCGACGACUCUGACAGUUUUGAGGACUGGCGGCCCCUGGCUUUCUGGAAUGUCAUUUUGGCUGACUUGGUUGUUAUCAGUCAUUGGUGAACACAAGGCCCAGCCAGGCCCGUCUGAGCCUUAUGCUGGGGAGGUCCCACAGUAGGGGAGGGUUUGGGGCUAAAUAUACCAUUUUUCUGGUCAACAUUUCAAAGUAAAUUCUUAUCCACCCAUCUGUGCAUUCCAGAGAUGUAAACGUCAUCUCUAGGGCCCUACGAGGCCAGCCCCUCUUCUGCUGAGCACUGUUUAUUUUGCAGCUACCUGGAGACAAAGGGGCCUGCUUCACUGCCGCUCCCCGAGCCCCAGUGCCACUGGAGUGGCGUGCCGGGCUGUGAGUAGGUGACUCUGGAGCCAGCCUGCCUGGGUUUGAGUCCCAGCUCUGCCACUAACAGACCCAGCAACCUGGCCAAGUGCCUCAGUUUCCUCACCUCAGUCCGAGUGAGGACAGGGUGGGACCAGUUAGCAUAUGCGAACAUGCUGGCAUUGAGUCGGCUCUCUGUGAGUGGCAGUGAUCAUUAUUAUGUAAAAGCACCAGUUAUAACUCUGGAGAUUACGGACACGUGGCGAAGACAGGUAGAGAAAUGAAGGUUUAAAUGACCGUCCUUGGGUGGCAAGGCCAUUAGCCGUGGAGUAGGAAGCCUGCAUGUUGGGGUGUUUUCUCUCCAGCUCCUGAGCAAAGGCCAUGUGCUCAGGUAACAAAAGUGCAGCGUCUUUAUGAAAGUAGACUGAAGUCGGCACCAGGGCAGGGACUGUUUCUGCCUUGUUCACCGUUCUCCCUAGACUGGGUUCAUAAGAGGCAUCUAGUAAGUGCUGAAUAAAUACUUGUGGGAUGAAUGUGUGGCCAUGGAGAUGCACAACUACAAAGCUCUCUUGUAUUGUCUAUCUCAUCCGAGCCAUAAAACUGCUCUGUGAGAAAGGGUUUGGUGAUACUAUCUCCAUUUUAUAAGUCAAAGAAAUGUAAGGGAAAUAAAUAUCUAUCGAGAGCCUUCCCUGGGUGGAGGCUUUGCUGGUGUCACCUCCUUGAAUCAGUGCAUGUUGUCUUUGGGGGAACGUCAUACCACAGCUGGCUGCAGACCCAGGACCACGACCUCUGCACCCAGACCCCUGGUGUGGGCUCUGCCUACUGCCCCAAAGCCUCCAACCCUGCUGUUCAGAGGCGUCUGCCCAGCCGUCCUCAGCCUGGCCCCGUCGGAAGCCCGGGCACCAAGAAAUGGAGCUCCCUCUUGGUGCUGCCACCGUGACAGGGAAGGCAGGGCUGCUCCUUGGCCAUACAGAAACAGGCAGGGGCUAGCCGGGGCCUGUCUCCAUGUGCCUCCUCCUUGAAGCCUGAAUCUUUUCUGACAAGACCCCAUUACAAGGGACCAUGCAGCCUUGCCCUGAGCAUGCCCCAUCUCCCCCACAGCACGCCCCAUCCGCUCCUGCAAGAGGAGGCAAGGAGGGCUGCCGCUCUGGGCCCUCCAGUCUCCGGGACACCCACUUGCUCCUUCCUGGACACCUUGUAGCUGCGGCGACUGAUUCCUAACCGUCUUCUCACUGCCUUCAAAUCACACAGUAGGUUGCAGGGAAGCCUUGCAAGGCCACAGAGGGCUGGUCCCUUAGCACCACCCCCCAGGGGCAGGGUAGCCAUCCUGGGUAGGACCUGCGCCAGCACCAGGUGUCUCUGCGGAGCGGGGCUGGGCUGUAAUGGCAGGAGGGGAGCAGUGGGCGGCAGCACUGAGCUGCACUUACUCAGCUUCAUCCUCAGAGCCAGUGGGUGUGGCCCGUGAUGGGAGGGACAAGGGUGCCACGCCCCGGAGUGGGGUCAGGCACUCCAGGGUCCCUACCUAGGGCUCCAUCAACCAUGUUGCCUCUGCUAAGACUGGGCCACACUCUUGUACUUUCUGUGACCUCUUCGUUGCCUUCAGGAUCUCGCCAUGGUGACCACUCAAAGUCAGCUCUGGACCUGGAGACCCUCUUUCCACAGCUCCGGGCCCGGCCCCGCCAUGCAACUCUGGCUGAAAUGGUGGGGCAAAGCCUGGGCCGGGCCGGAGAUCACAGGCUAGCCUUUGCAGUGACUCGUGUCGUGGGUCUGGGGACUGGGUUUGAUUGGUCAGGGCAGGUGUUUGCAGGAACCAACCACAGCACUGCCCCAGACAUGGCAGUCACAUCGUCUGAUUCUGGCCAGCUGUGACCGGUGCUGGGAGCCUGAAGCUCCUUCCUGCUUUCCCCUCACCUCCCCCUCCCAGGUGGUAUCCCGAGAGGCUGCUGGCAUUGCCUCCUGACUGUCUCUCAGACCCUCGUCCCCUCCUCUCUACCCUGGGGUCACAGCCUGGUCCAGGCCUCGGCAGCCCCCCCCUCCUGCCCAGCCACACCCCUCAGCUGCCAGAGUGACCUUUCUGAAUGCGCCAUGGACCAGGGCGCUCUGACCUGCUGACAGCCCUCGGGCUGCUCAGGGCAGAGGGCAACCCCCAGCAUGUCAUGCCAGGCCCGUGGGACGCCCGCCGGUGCCCCUCUGAUGUUCUGCUUGAGCCACACAGCGCUGCCUGCACAGUCCCAGCCAUUUGCUGCCUCCCUGCCUUUGUCCGGGCUGGGCCCCCUGCCUGGGGCGCCAUCCCUUCACAGUGUCCUCCAUCCUCCGGCUGACCUGCGCUUGAGACUUGGGGCAGUCAUGGGCUCUAGGCUCUCGGUCCAGUCCUGCUGCACCUCUGUGCUCUGAUUCUAGGGACUCGGCUCUGUUCUUGUCCCACUGCGGUGGUGGUUGUCUGGAAUAUGACUGGAAUAUGACCUCCGUGAGUGCCAGUGUGGUUUCCCAUGCACUGUGGUAGGCACAGCACUGACACAGUGCCUGGGACACAGAGGUGCUCAGCAGAUGUGUUCGAGGGACGAAGGGUGGGAAGAGAGCUCGGGCACCGUCUGGCCCUGCAUUGGGCAGACCCUAGGACCAGCAGAUGACCCCAUCUCACGCAGUGACCAUUGCUGUCUUUGACCAUCUUUCUUGUCACAACACCAAAAUCCCUGGCACUUCCGUUUAACCUUGUCCCAGCAACCUCGCAGAUGGAGAUUGGCUGCUCAGCAUCUGUCACAGCUUUUAAUAUAAAUUCCAGACAGAUUUCCUCCUUUGUUAAUGGCAAAUUAAAAAGCCCCAAAAAGGAAGUGCCACCCGCUCCCCUCCACUGUAGGGGGGACACGUGGGUGGCACCACCUCCCAACACCUGUGGUAGUCACAGGGCGCUUGGAACCUGUAGAAGCCGCUGCGAGUCACCCGGGCUGACUGGGGAAGACCUUGGGGGGCUGGCCAGUGCAGAGUCCAUGUGAGGGGGUCUCUAGGGUGACCCCUGAGGUCUUUUGAGAGGGUCUGUUGUGUUGCGGAGGGAGGAGGGAGGCCUGCCGUGGAGAGGUUCUGUCCUGUCCACGCUAGGCCUUGGAGUGGCUCCUGGCGGGGCCGUAGUGGGAGGGCCUGCCAGCCUUCCGGCUCCCUCCUCAGUGCCCCAGGUUGCCUUGGUGCCAGGUUUCCAGAGAGGCCUAACAGAACAGACCCAGUUUUCUGGUCCCAGGGGAGGAGCCAGGAAGCAAACGCCAUAGGUGUGUGGCUCUAGGUGUUCCCUGAGGUGUGAGGAGUUAUUUGUGGGCGUGGUGGUGGGCGAGAGGGCCCCUGUGGGACAUAGAUGUGGCAAAUGAAAACACUUGCCAGGAAGUGCCGGGGCACGCUGACGCCAGAACGUCCCUCAUCGCUCAUGUGAGAUUCCGGUGUGUUGGACAUCCUGGGAGCAGUCUCCCUCGAGGUUGGUGGGCACUCCUGGUGCCAGUCGGUUAGGAAGAGGUGGAUAAGGAAUGUCACUUCCUGGCAGGCCCAGGACCCUCAAGAUAUUUUGGGGACCUAAAGAAGAGAGGAAGUCACCCAAAUCUACAGGUAUUACAGGAAGAGUUUGAUGAGUUUGGCUUUUUUCCAUUGACAAUUUUGGCGUAGUCGGCAGGACCUCGGAGAAGAUUCAGGACCGCCUAAGGAGCAGUGCAAACUCGGCGCCAGGUACCGGCAUGGCAUGGCCCUUUUAGGCCUCCGACUCUGAGCUUCUCCUUUGGCCGGACUGGACCUCCCUUUUUGGUUGAUGGUCUUGGUUUAUUCUGAGCUGGUUCUUUUCCUAGGAAUUGUUGUUUGGGAUCCUAAUUUAGGUUUAGAGGUGCAUUCUAAAAGGUCUUCUCCAUUGUCUUUUUAUCCUAAAAUUAAUCUCAAUUGGCUUUUCUCUAAGAAAAAUAGAAAAUCCUUUAAAAAGGAGGAAAAACAAAUAGAAUGACUGUUGGGCACCCCAGUUGAUUUACGGUGCCUCUACUUGCAAGUAUUUUUUGUUAAUGAAAAGAUUCAAAGGCAUUCCAGGUUUUCUAGGGCUCCAGCUGGUUAUAGCUAAUUCUUGUGCACAAGUUUUUAAGAAAGGGCAAAAUAACGUCAAAAAAAAAUUCAGAGCUGAAAUGGUCCACCCCCACUAUUAAAAUGUCUCAAGCUAUCUCUCUCUCUUCUUUUCUGGCUACUCUAAAACCGAACUUUUUCUGUUGAUCUUAAGAUAACUCAUUGUUUAUGGUAUUUACAAUUGAAAGGCUACCUGGAGACCCUGCAGCCAGUUCUAGCUAAAAUGCUAACAUUGAAAACUCACUUUUAACUGGAAAAAAAGGGGGGGGGGGUAAAGGUUUUUAAAAAAAUCAAACUGCCAUGGAAACUGCUUUACCCAAAACUUUGAUCCACAGGCCUAAUUAAGUUACCUAUCAGGUCAACUAAAGUUUGCCAUGUAAACAAGUUCCAGUCUCAUCAGAAGAAAUUUAGAUCCAGCUUUCUUUUACAGACUGGCCGACGCUGCUACCAGCUUUCUGAGGGCAGCACGAUCAGGUAACUUGGACAAAGCUUUGGAUCACCUGCGGAACGGGGUAGAUAUCAACACCUGCAACCAGGUAAGCGAGAUGGCAGGCCUGUCCUCUCUGCGGUGCAGCUCCUGCCCGGUGCCGCUCGCUCAGAGCUUUGAAACUGCCUCUAUUAACCUCUUCCCAGCGGCCUCAAAAAUCCCCAAGGGCUCCCGCCAGAGGCAGGCCCUAACCUCCACGUCUCAUCGUGGCUGCCGGCCGGUCCCCCGCAGCCUCCUCUCAGAAGUGGCGGCUGGCCCCUGCUGCUGUCGCAGAACACGUGGCCUUUGGAUGCGGGCAGGAGGAAGGGCCUUUGAAGGGAGUUGUGUCAGUGGGGACAGCGAAUCCGCUUUCCACCAGGCCCUUUGCGGGUCCUCAGCCGGGCUGGGAGGAAACCAGGCCUCGCUGGGCUCGGUGCCCACGAGGGCAGGUCUGCGGGCGCGGCGGGCGGGAUGCCACGGGCGGGAUGCCUCGGGCCGGCCCGGGCCACUCCUCACCCUGAAGCAGGGCUCCGUGUCCACAGGGGGCUGGUGAGGACACACGAUGCGUCUGGGACGGACUGGAGGGCAGAGUGGGGUUUGGGGCCAGAGACCUAGGAACUAACUGACAGAGAGGGGGCUGCCCUCCAGGAAGAGGGCAGGUGUGUGCGAGGCUUGGGCUGCGGAUUGGUGACUUGCUGUUUUGGUUUGCUGCUAUUUGCCUGCUAAUAGAAUUGUUUAGGCAUACAUGCUAAUUUAGUUUCUGAUUUAGAAUAAAUUUACCAAUGGUGACUUUUUUUUUUUUACCAUCUUAAAAUUUGUUUUUAACUG